UUGGUUAGCGGCGGGCGGGUGAGUAACACGUGGGCAACCUGCCUGUAAGACUGGGAUAACACCGGGAAACCGGUGCUAAUACCGGAUAAUCCUUUUCCUCACAUGAGGGAAAGCUGAAAGACGGUUUCGGCUGUCACUUACAGAUGGGCCCGCGGCGCAUUAGCUAGUUGGUGAGGUAACGGCUCACCAAGGCGACGAUGCGUAGCCGACCUGAGAGGGUGAUCGGCCACACUGGGACUGAGACACGGCCCAGACUCCUACGGGAGGCAGCAGUAGGGAAUCUUCCGCAAUGGACGAAAGUCUGACGGAGCAACGCCGCGUGAGCGAUGAAGGCCUUCGGGUCGUAAAGCUCUGUUGUUAGGGAAGAACAAGUACCGGAGUAACUGCCGGUACCUUGACGGUACCUAACCAGAAAGCCACGGCUAACUACGUGCCAGCAGCCGCGGUAAUACGUAGGUGGCAAGCGUUGUCCGGAAUUAUUGGGCGUAAAGCGCGCGCA
rnacentral:rRNA from 1 species